AUUGAACGCUGGCGGCAGGCCUAACACAUGCAAGUCGAGCGGAUGAAGGGAGCUUGCUCCUGGAUUCAGCGGCGGACGGGUGAGUAAUGCCUAGGAAUCUGCCUGGUAGUGGGGGAUAACGUCCGGAAACGGGCGCUAAUACCGCAUACGUCCUGAGGGAGAAAGUGGGGGAUCUUCGGACCUCACGCUAUCAGAUGAGCCUAGGUCGGAUUAGCUAGUUGGUGGGGUAAAGGCCUACCAAGGCGACGAUCCGUAACUGGUCUGAGAGGAUGAUCAGUCACACUGGAACUGAGACACGGUCCAGACUCCUACGGGAGGCAGCAGUGGGGAAUAUUGGACAAUGGGCGAAAGCCUGAUCCAGCCAUGCCGCGUGUGUGAAGAAGGUCUUCGGAUUGUAAAGCACUUUAAGUUGGGAGGAAGGUCAGUAAGUUAAUACCUUGCUGUUUUGACGUUACCAACAGAAUAAGCACCGGCUAACUUCGUG
rnacentral:rRNA from 1 species